GAUGAACGCUAGCGGCAGGCCUAAUACAUGCAAGUCGAACGGUGUCUUCGGACAUAGUGGCGCACGGGUGCGUAACACGUAUGCAACCUACCUUACAUUGGGGGAUAGCCUUUCGAAAGGGAGAUUAAUACCGCAUAAGACAGUAGCUGGGCAUCCAGCAGCUGUUAAAGAUUUAUCGAUGUAAGCUGGGCAUGCGUCCAAUUAGCUAGUUGGUGAGGUAACGGCUCACCAAGGAAAUGAUUGGUAGGGGAACUGAGAGGUCAAGCCCCCACACUGGAACUGAGAUACGGGCCAGACUCCUACGGGAGGCAGCAGUAGUGAAUAUUGGGCAAUGGACGCAAGUCUGACCCAGCCAUGCCGCGUGCAGGAUGAAGGCGUUAUGCGUUGUAAACUGCUUUUAUACAGGAAGAAACGACUCUUGCGAGAGGCAUUGACGGUACUGUAUGAAUAAGCACCGGCUAACUCCGUGCCAGCCGCCGCCGUAACAC
rnacentral:rRNA from 1 species